rnacentral:lncRNA from 1 species
AAUUAGCGAUUUCUUCUUUAUUAAAAAAACGAAGCAAAACAAAACUAUUAUCUAUUACUAAAGAAAUCCUCUUGGAACCCAAGGGGAAAAAAGUUAUUCAAAUCAAAUUUAAACAUGACAGACUAUGAGGCUGUGACUUGCAUACAGAUUUUUAACGUAUGGAACAAAUGCAAACUUAGUCCUCCAAUGAAAUAACCAUUUCUAAUACUUUUUAUUAAAAUGGAAAGCUGUAUUCUCCUAGAGCACAGCUGAGAAGAGGCUGAAUUUAGUGUUCACUGGUGUACUUUAGUUUUCUAACUGCCAGGAGCGGCAUGCCUUUAACAAGUGAGGUGAAAGGGAAAUUCUCUGAGGGUACAGCGCUCAGGGACUGUUCUUCUGGCGGAACACUUCAUUGACAUUUCAGCUUUAUUUGUUCUCUAUGUUAAACUAAUCAGCAAAUUAAGGCUACUACAUGUAGCCUUAAAUGCUACUCAUGCCUCAGUUUACACAGCUUAUGCCAACAGACAACAUCCAUAGUAACUGAAAAUUGACCCCUGGUAUAUAAACCAAGGCAUAGAGCCUAGACCUCUAUCUAAGUUGAUGCUGCCUAUCGUUAACCAUCCUAUAUUUACCUUAUUAAUAUUCUUUUCUCAUCAAUUUUAGACUUUAAAAAAAAAAUGAUCUAGAGACAACAUAAAGGGAACAAACCUAAACCACACUAAGCUUAUUUGGGUGUUUGGAACAGGGAACAUUUGCAUUCAGUCCCCCACCAGUACGUGGCUCAUAUAAAUGUCCUAUUUUGAGGGGUUCCCCACUUUAGCUGCUUGGCCAAAUGUGCUUAUUUUAAGAGAAAACUACUCUUAAACAAUAAAUGUUCUCCACUGUGUCCUUUUGUAGCCAAAGGUACCUGGGACAAUUCUAUUCAAAGGUUACAUUCUUCAGAAGCAUCUAAGUCUAAAUAUUAAAUGGCUUUUCCGUGAAAAGUCAGAGGUAUUAAGCAUCAGUAAUUUCAAUACACUCUUGGGAUUUGAGGAGACGUACAGAUAGGAAUCCAACUUUCUACUCAAAACAAAAACGGUACUACCAGGAACAGGUCUGGAGUUCUAACACGAAUGCUGCAGUAAAUGUCUCCAGGAAAAUGGAUUACAUAACAGCUUUGCGAGGGAAUUAAGAGCUCCCAGAGUUCCUUCACACACGCUUUAUAUACGAGGAGGUCCUUUUUAUGCUUACAAUCGAGAGAAUUUAAAGGGUAACAGGGGUAUAAAGUUAUGACGGCUCCGAAAAGGAAUCACAGAGAUCCUGUAGCGUACCUCUGGAAACUGUGCUUCAAAGGAUCCACUCCUUAGGAUUUAAAGGCCAAGUCUUCGCAACGGCCCUGAAAGUACAUACAAGUUUGGGAGGCCAAGUUGGAGCGAGGCAAAUCCGAAAGGUUACCAUGUGUUACUGAAUUUGUUUUUGAACAGGAAGUGACUUUUAGUUUGUAGACAAACCCUCCUAUCUAUACGUGGAGGGCAGCAAGAACUUGAGACGGGAAGGAGAGAAGGGCAUCAGUUAGCAUGUUCACCCCAGCGGGCUGGGUAACGGCUGGGUAAGGGCUGCAUAUGUCAGCGAGUGGCAGCAACACAGCGUCCGCGACAAGUGGAGAGGAUGAGGCAGGGGAAGGCUGGGGAGCGGUGGAAGAAAAAAGACAAGGACCGUUGUAUGUCUAACGAAGACAUGAACAUGUAAGAUGAAACUCAAAAUUAAGACUUCUAUAGAGUCAGAUAAAAAGUACUGCUGCUUAUACGUGGGUUUCAAGAAAUCAGCACACCAUAUAAAUAUACACUACAGAUACAGAUUUCGCUAGAUUUAAAAUUCAGCACUCAAUAAGGCCCUUGACCGUACAAUGUCCCUUAGGCUGCAAACUAUAUCGAGGAGAAUGGUAACCACACAAAUGAGUUUACAAGUCUGUGUUGUAGAACAAAAUGGA